UGCAAGUCGUACGCUUCUUUUUCCACCGGAGCUUGCUCCACCGGAAAAAGAAGAGUGGCGAACGGGUGAGUAACACGUGGGUAACCUGCCCAUCAGAAGGGGAUAACACUUGGAAACAGGUGCUAAUACCGUAUAACAAUCGAAACCGCAUGGUUUUGAUUUGAAAGGCGCUUUCGGGUGUCGCUGAUGGAUGGACCCGCGGUGCAUUAGCUAGUUGGUGAGGUAACGGCUCACCAAGGCCACGAUGCAUAGCCGACCUGAGAGGGUGAUCGGCCACAUUGGGACUGAGACACGGCCCAAACUCCUACGGGAGGCAGCAGUAGGGAAUCUUCGGCAAUGGACGAAAGUCUGACCGAGCAACGCCGCGUGAGUGAAGAAGGUUUUCGGAUCGUAAAACUCUGUUGUUAGAGAAGAACAAGGAUGAGAGUAACUGUUCAUCCCUUGACGGUAUCUAACCAGAAAGCCACGGCUAACUACGUGCCAGCAGCCGCGGUAAUACGUAGGUGGCAAGCGUUGUCCGGAUUUAUUGGGCGUAAAGCGAGCGCAGGCGGUUUCUUAAGUCUGAUGUGAAAGCCCCCGGCUCAACCGGGGAGGGUCAUUGGAAACUGGGAGACUUGAGUGCAAAACAGGAGAGUGGAAUUCCAUGUGUAGCGGUGAAAUGCGUAGAUAUAUGGAGGAACACCAGUGGCGAAGGCGGCUCUCUGGUCUGUAACUGACGCUGAGGCUCGAAAGCGUGGGGAGCAAACAGGAUUAGAUACCCUGGUAGUCCACGCCGUAAACGAUGAGUGCUAAGUGUUGGAGGGUUUCCGCCCUUCAGUGCUGCAGCUAACGCAUUAAGCACUCCGCCUGGGGAGUACGACCGCAAGGUUGAAACUCAAAGGAAUUGACGGGGGCCCGCACAAGCGGUGGAGCAUGUGGUUUAAUUCGAAGCAACGCGAAGAACCUUACCAGGUCUUGACAUCCUUUGACCACUCUAGAGAUAGAGCUUCCCCUUCGGGGGCAAAGUGACAGGUGGUGCAUGGUUGUCGUCAGCUCGUGUCGUGAGAUGUUGGGUUAAGUCCCGCAACGAGCGCAACCCUUAUUGUUAGUUGCCAUCAUUCAGUUGGGCACUCUAGCAAGACUGCCGGUGACAAACCGGAGGAAGGUGGGGAUGACGUCAAAUCAUCAUGCCCCUUAUGACCUGGGCUACACACGUGCUACAAUGGGAAGUACAACGAGUCGCGAAGUCGCGAGGCUAAGCUAAUCUCUUAAAGCUUCUCUCAGUUCGGAUUGUAGGCUGCAACUCGCCUACAUGAAGCCGGAAUCGCUAGUAAUCGCGGAUCAGCACGCCGCGGUGAAUACGUUCCCGGGCCUUGUACACACCGCCCGUCACACCACGAGAGUUUGUAACACCCGAAGUCGGUGAGGUAACCUUUUGGAGCCAGCCGCCU
rnacentral:rRNA from 1 species